CGCUUAACUCUCUCCGAAAUGCAUCUCCUCUCUCUCCAUCUCUCAUUCUAUCUCUCUCUCACCGUCUCACAGAUUGUUGGUGGGCUGCCUCGUUCCGCCGCCGUUGCGGGCUUCGCCGCCGAUAGAUCCGACCCCUGCAGCCCCGGCGCCAACUUCCCUGUCGUUGUGUAGAAGCAGAUCGAGGAGCGUCGGCGAUUUUCUUUUGCGAUUUUUCCUAUUGUAUCGUUGAUGCGAUCUGUAAUUUGGGAUUUGUUUUUUUUGUUUAGAUGAUUUGGGAUUUGUAGAUUCGGGAGCGAUGGAAAUGUGCAGGCCAUUGGCCUGCUUAUUUUUUUUGAAUUGUCAAAAUCGUAUCAGUGUCGGUCGUGCUACUUGACAGCCAAUGAUGGGUCGGUACUCAUCAUUGACAGGUGGGUCGCCCGCCACUAAUAUCAUUUUUCGUCCGACAGUAAUGGGCUUUUCUAUACUAGUGCCUG
rnacentral:lncRNA from 1 species